GGGCAGAGACAACCAGCUGCACCCUAUUUACCAUGUCCGUUCCUCCGUCCAAUCUCAUCCUUCUUGAAGACACUCCCGCCGCUGGGAACGCACUUUUCUGCCCACUCGUCCUUUAACUUCAGUUCUUCAAUCUGCUCGUCCGUCAGCCCUUGCAUAUUGAGCGGCAAGUACGCACCGUGCUCCGCCAGCUCCUGCAUCUCUUCGUCAAGCGUUUAGAGCACAAGUUCAGCCUGAACAAGAGGAGGUACAGCAGUGCCAGUGCAGCAGCGAGCUUGUCCUGCGUUGUCUUGUGGCCUGGCCGUUUUACCAAGGACUGUGGUUUGCAUCACGCUCAUUUCACAUAGCAGUCAGAGCAUUUCCAAGGCCAGCACUACCUCCUCGCUCUGCCCAGUGACUACAGCCCGCCAGGUCUCUGCCAGCCCUCCAAAGGAGGGCUACAGCCAUCUCUACCCCAGAGCAACAACUGAGAGCUGCUCUGGUAAACAGGGCCCCAGGGAAGCAUCCAUCACGAGAAAAGGAAAAGGUGAGUUCUUAAGGGCAGGUAUGUUUAUUUUGUUAAUACAACACCGUCUUCCACAGGGUAUAUACGGAAUGUUGUACGCCACUGAGUUUCAAUACUGCAGUUCUGUAAAGUAUACAGCCAUAGAUAUUGUGUGCCACAAGCAAUAAAACUGUUACAUUUAACAGAGCAGUUUACCACAGGGAACAUGGAAUUUGUGUAAAUGUGUUGAGCGUUUCUAUUUUUAAUUCUUAGUAAUGUUCAGAACUUCUGCUAGUAAUUCUUUUCGUUAAUACACGUUACAGUGGUUAGCAAUAUAUAUAUACACACACUACAGUUUUGGAACAGUUCUCGUGAUCUUUGCAGUACUUUGCUGUCCAUCUCCGUAAUCCUGUAUAGUGCAGAGGUGCUGUAUACCAGGUGCAUUUUAGACAGUAGUUUUCAAUCACUGUAAUUAAAUAUUCAACAAAGAACAUAUUUAUCACGUAACUCCCACUAGGAAAAAGUUUCCCCCCAAAAUGUUUUGCUAAUGUAAGAAUAUACCAAAACACUGAUCACACAGAUGUUUAUAGCAACAGUGUAAAACAAGGUAAUCCACAUACCGAAGCACAAAGGUUAGAGUACCACUGCUGUUUAAAAUGUACAAGUACUGUUUAAUGAGCUGAACAGAAAAAAAAAAAAGCACGAUAUAAAAUUCACUAUAGUCACUCCUCUAUCCAACUGCAGCUCAUGGCUAACCAGACAGUGUUAAAGGAAGAGUGGAUCGUUUUAUAAAUAACCUUCCAAUAGCAUUUGAGGAUUUUUUAAAAGUACUGUCAUUGUGUGUUUUGCUGCUAUAAAUAUAAUGCUAAUAUGUUGAGUUUCGGUCACUGGUUUUGCAGAACCAGUAUGGCUUGUUUGCAAGGAAA